AGAGUUUGAUCCUGGCUCAGGAUGAACGCUGACAGAAUGCUUAACACAUGCAAGUCGACUGGAAUUCUUCUUCGGAAGAUAGUACGGUGGCGGACGGGUGAGUAACGCGUAAAGAAUUUGCCCUUCAGACUGGGACAACUAACCGAAAGGUUAGCUAAUACCGGAUAUUAUGAGACCUUGGCAUCGAGGACUUAUGAAAGCUAUAUGCGCUGGAGGAGAACUUUGCGUCCCAUUAGGUAGUUGGUAGGGUAAUGGCCUACCAAGCCGACGAUGGGUAGCCGGCCUGAGAGGGUGAACGGCCACAAGGGGACUGAGACACGGCCCUUACUCCUACGGGAGGCAGCAGUGGGGAAUAUUGGACAAUGGACCAAAAGUCUGAUCCAGCAAUUCUGUGUGCACGAUGAAGGUCUUCGGAUUGUAAAGUGCUUUCAGGUGGGAAGAAGAAAGUGACGGUACCACCAGAAGAAGCGACGGCUAAAUACGUGCCAGCAGCCGCGGUAAUACGUAUGUCGCAAGCGUUAUCCGGAAUUAUUGGGCGUAAAGCGAGUCUAGGCGGCUUGUUAAGUCAGAUGUGAAAAUGCGGGGCUCAACUCCGUAUUG
rnacentral:rRNA from 1 species